rnacentral:rRNA from 1 species
UACGAAGGGGGCUAGCGUUGUUCGGAAUUACUGGGCGUAAAGCGCACGUAGGCGGAUUUGCCAGUCAGGGGUGAAAUCCCGGGGCUCAACCCCGGAACUGCUCUUGAGACUGCAUGUCUGGAAUUCGGUAGAGGCUAGUGGAACUCCCAGUGUAGAGGUGAAAUUCGCAGAUAUUGGGAAGAACACCGGUGGCGAAGGCGACUAGCUGGGCCGAUAUUGACGCUGAGGCACGAAAGCGUGGGUAGCAAACAGG